rnacentral:rRNA from 1 species
CUCCUACGGGAGGCAGCAUGGGGAAUAUUGGACAAUGGGCGCAAGCCUGAUCCAGCCAUGCCGCGUGAGUGAUGAAGGCCUUAGGGUUGUAAAGCUCUUUUAGCAGGGAAGAUAAUGACGGUACCUGCAGAAAAAGCCCCGGCUAACUUCGUGCCAGCCGCCGCGUAAUAC